rnacentral:rRNA from 1 species
GCAAGUCGAGCGCGAAAGCACUUCGGUGUGAGUAGAGCGGCGGACGGGUUAGUAACGCGUGGGAACAUACCCUUUUCUGCGGAAUAGCCUUUGGAAACGAAGAGUAAUACCGCAUACGCCCUUCGGGGGAAAGAUUUAUCGGUGAAGGAUUGGCCCGCGUUAGAUUAGAUAGUUGGUGGGGUAAUGGCCUACCAAGUCUACGAUCUAUAGCUGGUUUGAGAGGAUGAUC